GGAGUAGUUUCUCUUCUACCUCCCUGAAAAAACAAUAAGAAAAAAGAGUAACAGGACAUACAUACAUCAUAUUGUUUUGCUUCAUAGGCUCUCACAAUAAAAUAUUAUGGUAUUAAUCUUAAAAAAGUAUUUUUGUAGCUUUCCCUAUAGACCAUAGACAUAUAUGUAGUUAAAAGAUUUAGGCCCGUAGUCUAUGAGUUAGUAUGAGUUUUGGUUUCUUUUUUUCUUUUCACACAAGAGAAGGGCCAAAGGGGGAUUAUUCAUUUCCGUCAACUA